GUAGGGUAGCCGAGCGCACGGUUGGUUGUGCGUUCAAGCCUGUAGAUUGGAUUGCCAGGACCCGAUAGGGACAAACGGCAGUCCGCGUAAUCGAGAGGUGAUGAGGUCGGGGCUUGCCCCGGAUACUCGGUAAUCCCAAGCUUCCAAGAAAAGCCGCGUACAGAGCCCCCUUAGUGUCCGUACCGCAAACCGACUCAGGUGGGCGGGGUGAGUAUCCCAAGGCGCGUGAGAGAACCCUGGUUAAGGAACUCUGCAAAAUGACACCGUAACUUCGGGAGAAGGUGUGCCGGUCUGCGUGAAGGAGUUUACCUCCGGAGCGUGGGCUGGUUGCAGAGAAAUGGGGGUUGUGACUGUUUACUAAAAACACAGGACUCUGCGAAGUCGUAAGACGACGUAUAGGGUCUGAUGCCUGCCCGGUCUGGAAGGUUAAGGGGACGAGUCAGCGAAAGCAAAGCUCCGAACCGAAGCCCCAGUAAACGGCGGCCGUAACCAUAACGGUCCUAAGGUAGCGAAAUUCCUUGUCGGGUAAGUUCCGACCUGCACGAAGCAUAACUGCAUCCCCGCUGUCUCGACCAGGGACUCAGCGAAAUUGUAUCGGGGGUGAAGAUACCCUCUACCCGCGGCAAGACGGAAAGACCCCAUGAACCUUUACUGCAACUUGGCAGUGAUUUUCGGGAUAUUCUGCGUAGGAUAGGUGGGAGGCUGUGAAGCCGGGCUUCUGGGUUCGGCUGAGCCAACGUUGAAAUACCACCCUGGAUAUUCUGGACAUCUAACCUAGAUCCAUCACCUGGAUCAGGGACACUGCCUGGUGGGCAGUUUGACUGGGGCGGUCGCCUCCUAAAAAGUAACGGAGGCGUGCGAAGGUUCCCUCAUCCUGAUUGGAAACCAGGAGUAGAGUGCAAACGCACAAGGGAGCUUAACUGUGAGACCGACAGGUCGAACAGGUGCGAAAGCAGGCGUUAGUGAUCCGGUGGUUCUGUAUGGAAGGGCCAUCGCUCAUCGGAUAAAAGGUACUCUGGGGAUAACAGGCUGAUCGCGCCUGAGAGUUCACAUCGGCGGCGCGGUUUGGCACCUCGAUGUCGGCCCAUCGCAUCCUGGGGCUGGAGCAGGUCCCAAGGGUUCGGCUGUUCGCCGAUUAAAGCGGUACGCGAGCUGGGUUUAAAACGUCGUGAGACAGUUUGGUCCCUAUCUGCCGUGGGCGUAGGACACUUGAGAGGAGCUGCUCAUAGUACGAGAGGACCUGAGUGGACGCACCUCUGGUGUUCCGGUUGUCCUGCCAAGGGCAUAGCCGGGUAGCCAUGUGCGGAACGGAUAACCGCUGAAAGCAUCUAAGCGGGAAGCCGGCCUCAAGACUAGGUGUCCCGAGUCGGAAGACUCCUAAAGACCCCUUGUAGACUACAAGGUUGAUAGGCCGGGUGUGGAAGCGAAGUAAUUCGCGGAGCUAACCGGUACUAAUAGGUCGUGCGGCUUGACC
rnacentral:rRNA from 1 species